rnacentral:lncRNA from 1 species
GGGAGCAAAGUGGUAAUAUUCUCUAUUUGACUCUCCAGCCUUGGGCCAUCCCAGAUAUUUGUGUUCAUUGUUGUCUUUCAGGGCACAGUUAGGUUUUUAUAGCUCUUACACAGGAAGACACCAUCAGUUUCUCUUAGCUGAUCUGAUUUCCACUGUGACCUUUUCAAGUAAAAUGUUUCUAACUUUAAAUGGUGAUCUGAGGGCCACCCAAAGAUCAGAGGUUAACAACAACAGAAAGUCCUGACUCCAGCAGUGCUCCUUGAGUGUCCGGUUUUCAGCCGAGGCCUCCUGUGUGGAUCCCUGGGGUGCAGCUUCCAUGGCUGAGGCUUAGCCGGUCCCCUGACUGCUGCCAGGCCAGCCCCGCCCUGGGACUGGGCACCGG